AACGAACGCUGGCGGCGUGCCUAACACAUGCAAGUCGAACGGAGAUAAGGGGCUUGCUCCUUAUUUUAGUGGCGCACGGGUGAGUAACGCGUAGAUAAUCUGCCUGAUGAUCUGGGAUAACAGUUCGAAAGGACUGCUAAUACCGGAUAAGCCCACGGGGUCUUUGGACUCUGCGGGAAAAGGGGGGGACCUUCGGGCCUUCUGUCAUCAGAUGAGUCUGCGUACCAUUAGCUAGUUGGUAGGGUAAUGGCCUACCAAGGCUACGAUGGUUAGCUGGUCUGAGAGGAUGGUCAGCCACACUGGAACAGAGACACGGUCCAGACUCCUACGGGAGGCAGCAGUGGGGAAUUUUGCGCAAUGGGCGAAAGCCUGACGCAGCAACGCCGCGUGAGUGAUGAAGGCUUUCGGGUCGUAAAGCUCUGUCAGAGGGAAAGAAGUGUAUUGUGGCUAAUAUCCACGAUACUCGACGGUACCCUCAAAGGAAGCACCGGCUAACUCCGUGCCAGCAGCCGCAGUAAAAC
rnacentral:rRNA from 1 species